UUUUAGCCCUGAUAGCAGCGGCAUCCUUUUGUGCCGGGGUUCGGCACAAAAGAUACAGCGAAUAGCAGGAAGUCGC
rnacentral:sRNA from 1 species